rnacentral:rRNA from 1 species
GAUCCUGGCUCAGGAUGAACGCUAGCUACAGGCUUAACACAUGCAAGUCGAGGGGCAGCAUGGUCUUAGCUUGCUAGGGCCGAUGGCGACCGGCGCACGGGUGAGUAACACGUAUCCAACCUGCCGUCUACUCUUGGACAGCCUUCUGAAAGGAAGAUUAAUACAAGAUGGCAUCAUGAGUUCACAUGUUCACAUGAUUAAAGGUAUUCCGGUAGGCGAUGGGG